rnacentral:rRNA from 1 species
UACGUAGGGUGCGAGCGUUUGUCCGGAAUUACUGGGCGUAAAGAGCUCGUUAGGUGGGUUUGUCGCGUUGUUCGGUGAAAACUCACAGCUCAACUGUGGGGCGUGCGGGCGAUACGGGGCAGACUGGAGUACUGCAGGGGAGACUGGGAAUUCCUGGUGUAGCGGUGGGAAUGCGCCAGAUAUCAGGGAGGGAACACCCGGGUGGGCGAAGGCGGGUCUCUGGGCAGUAACUGACGCUGGAGGAGCGAAAGCGUGGGGAGCGAACAGG